GACGAACGCUGGCGGCGCGCUUAACACAUGCAAGUCGAGCGAUGAAAUCUUAACAGAACCCUUCGGGGUGAAGAUAAGACGGAUUAGCGGCGGACGGGUGAGUAACACGUGAGUAACCUGCCUUUUACACAGGGAUAGCCUCAGGAAACCGGGAUUAAAACCUGAUGAAACUAUCAAAUCACAUGAUUAAGAAAGUUAAAACUCCGGUGGUAAAAGAUGGACUCGCGUCCCAUUAGCUAGUUGGUGAAGGUAACGGCCCACCAAGGCAACGAUGGGUAGCCGGCCUGCGAGGGUGAACGGCCACAUUGGAACUGAGAAACGGUCCACACUCCUACGGGAGGCAGCAGUGGGGAAUCUUGCACAAUGGGGGAAACCCUGAUGCAGCGACGCCGCGUGAGCGAAGAAGGCCUUCGGGUCGUAAAGCUCUUUUAUAUGGGAAGAUAAUGACGGUACCAUAAGAAAAAGCCCCGGCUAACUACGUG
rnacentral:rRNA from 1 species